GAGACAGAGAGCUACAGUCGCGCCUGCCACAUCUACCUCCCCAGCCAUCCUACUCUCUAUGCUGCUGCAAACUAGACAUUCCUUCCUGGAGGGACCUCUCGCUUCCCAUCUUCAGAUCAGGACGCACGGUCUCUUCUCCGCAGCUGCUUCCUCUGGUGUUCCUGUGCUCCUGUCGGCCCGCUGCUCCCACACACAUGCCCAUUCUUCUCGGGCUGGCUUGUAUCUCAGGGUUACGCUCCCCAGGUCCCUUGCUCCAGCCUCCUCUUAAACAUGACAAAGAAUCCAAGGACUUGUGCUGGGGCUGUCAGCUGCUAUUCUGGUGCCCUGGGGACGAAGAAGGGAUCUGGAGGGAAGACUGUCACCCUCUUGCGAAUGUUUCCAAGAAGCAGCUCAGCAUGGGAGAGAAAAGGGGAGAUCCCAGUUCCAGGAACACCUGGCCAGUGUUUCACCUGUUUAUCGGAGUUGACAGGACCAGCCAGCCCUUUCCCACCUCUCCCCAUCAUGAUGGAUGGGAGCCUGGCCUUUGAGAACAGAAAGCACAGAACGUGGCACGUUGGAGGAAAUCAAAAGAAAUCUCGCCAUUGCCGGGAAUGGGUAAAUCACUCAGGCCGCGUGGGUCCUUGGCAGAUGGCAGAGGCGGCUUCCCAGUCCCCCACCUGGCACUAGAGGGACGGGGCGCGCACCCAACGGUGGCACGCAUCGCCGAAUUUUCCUGAAUGCCGCUGUGGCACAUUCCUGGCCUUUGCAGUUAUUAGGAAAUGAGAGGAUCUUUUUUCCUUCUACUCUCCCCUCCCCCUGCCUUCGUUUUUCUUCCAGGCAUGGAAUUAUCUACUUUAGCAGUUCAAAAGACAUUCCAUUCCCAUGACAAAGACAGAAAGGGGUGAUGUUGGCAUACUGUAGCCCUCUUUCUCAUAGGGAGACUUGAGCAAUAAAUCAUAAUGAAUGAGAAUUUAAAAUAGCAUUUAUUUAACCUUUAAUAGUACACCUUGCUGAUUUUCAAAGCGUCACCAACAGCUUUGUUUUUCACAUUCCCCAGCAAGGGUCCAACUCAAACUUUGAGCAGACAGUAGCGAAUUUUAUUCCUCUCAUAUAUUCCUAAAAAAAAAUGGGUUGAGGGGAUUCGUGUUCCGCUCCCUCUCAGCUCUUAAAUGUCUUAAGUCUAUCACUGAACAAAGACUGACAGAAGAUUUUAAAAUAGAAUGCAAAACUAUCAUCACAGCAAA
rnacentral:lncRNA from 1 species